UAGGGUUCCAGACAGGCAUCAACAGG
rnacentral:piRNA from 1 species